GAUGAAGAACGUAGCGAAAUGCGAUAAGUAAUGUGAAUUGCAGAAUUCAGUGAAUCAUCGAAUCUUUGAACGCACAUUGCGCCCGCCAGUAUUCUGGCGGGCAUGCCUGUUCGAGCGUAAUUUCAACCAUCAAGCCCCCGGCUUGUGUUGGGGACCUGCGGCUGCCGCAGGCCCUGAAAUGCAGUGGCGGGCUCGCUGUCACUCCGAGCGUAGUAGUUACAUCUCGCUCUGGGCGUGCUGCGGGUUCCGGCCGUUAAAAGCCUUAUUUACCCAAGGUUGACCUCGGAUCAGGUAGGAAGACCCGCUGAACUUAAGCAUAUCAAUAAGCGGAGGA
rnacentral:misc_RNA from 1 species